GCCUUCAAUGGCUCAGAUGGGCAGGGCGUCUGCCUUGUAAGCAGGAGAUCCCGGGUUCGAGUCCCGGUCGGGACA